UGGGGAGUCGCCAAGUCCGGCAAGGCACCGGGUUUUGGUCCCGGCAUUCGCAGGUUCGAAUCCUGCCUCCCCAG
rnacentral:tRNA from 1 species